AAUCAACGCUGGCGGCGUGCCUAAUACAUGCAAGUCGAACGCGAAAGUCCCGCAAGGGAUGAGUAGAGUGGCAAACGGGUGAGUAACGCGUGGGUGACCUGCCUUCGAGUGGGGGAUAACGUUCCGAAAGGGACGCUAAUACCGCAUGACAUCCUGUCUUUUAACAGAUGGUGAUCAAAGCUGGGGAUCGCAAGACCUAGCGCUGGAAGAGGGGCCCGCGUCCGAUUAGCAGUUGGUGGGGUAACGGCUCA
rnacentral:rRNA from 1 species